UACGUAGGCAGCAAGCGUUGUUCGGAAUUACUGGGCGUAAAGAGUGUGUAGGCGGUGCUCCAAGUCUGGUGUGAAAUCUCCCGGCUCAACUGGGAGGGUGCGCUAGAAACUGGAAUGCUAGAGGAUGGGAGAGGUAAGCGGAAUUCCUGGUGUAGCGGUGAAAUGCGUAGAUAUCAGGAGGAACACCUGCGGUGUAGACGGCUUACUGGACCACGACUGACACUGAAACUCGAAAGUGUGGGGAGCAAACAGG
rnacentral:rRNA from 1 species